GAGUUUGAUCCUGGCUCAGGAUGAACGCUAGCUACAGGCUUAACACAUGCAAGUCGAGGGGCAGCAUGGUCUUAGCUUGCUAAGGCCGAUGGCGACCGGCGCACGGGUGAGUAACACGUAUCCAACCUGCCGUCUACUCUUGGACAGCCUUCUGAAAGGAAGAUUAAUACAAGAUGGCAUCAUGAGUCCGCAUGUUCACAUGAUUAAAGGUAUUCCGGUAGACGAUGGGGAUGCGUUCCAUUAGAUAGUAGGCGGGGUAACGGCCCACCUAGUCUUCGAUGGAUAGGGGUUCUGAGAGGAAGGUCCCCCACACUGGUACUGAGACACGGACCAGACUCCUACGGGAGGCAGCGGUGAGGAAUAUUGGUCAAUGGAGGCAACUCUGAACCAGCCAUGCCGCGUGAAGGAUGACGGCCCUAUGGGUUGUAAACUUCUUUUAUAUGGGAAGAAACUUAUCUACGUGUAGAUAACUGACGGUACCAUACGAAUAAGGAUCGGCUAACUCCGUGCCAGCAGCCGCGGUAAUACGGAGGAUCCAAGCGUUAUCCGGAUUUAUUGGGUUUAACGGGAGCGUAGGUUGACAUAUAAGUCAGCUGUGAAAGUUUACGGCUCAACCGUGACAUUGCAGUUGAUACUGUAUGUCUUGAGUGUACAGAGGUGGGCGGAAUUCGUGGU
rnacentral:rRNA from 1 species